ensembl:lncRNA
UCCGCGCUCCACACUCUCGCCCUACACGACGCAAUUCUGAUCUCGCUCGCAAAACAUUUGCGUUAAAUCACAAAACUGUCGUGUUACACUGCGAAACGUUGCAUUCGCUCGCAAAACACUUGCGUUAUAUCACCAAACUGUCGUGUUACCCUGAGAAAGUUGCAUUCGCUCACAAAACAUUUGCGAUAUAUCACCAAACUAUCACGUUACCCUGAGAAACGUUGCAUUCGCUCGCAAAACAUUUGCGUUAGCUCACCAAACUGUCG